GGAAAAGAUGUACCUCAAUACACAACACCAUUCGCAGAAGCCUGCCUGUGCCAUCUACUACUUCAAAGCUUUAAAAAUUCUGGCUACAUAAAACCAACAAGUGUUCAGAAAGCUUCAGUUACAGCAACCACCUUUCGAUACUUAAAGGCGAGGACCGAAUGGCACCUUCACUUGGACUGGAUCGGACCGUUGUUUGGUCGAAUGGCUAGCAGCAAAAUUAAACUUUACGUAUUCGUUCGUGCUAAUUAAUCAAACUAUUGCGAAUAUGUACGGGACGCACGAGGGUUUGUUUUAUCAACUCAUAAAUGAUGAGGUAGCGGAAAAUGGCUUUAGAAUAGUCAAAAUUUAAUGCUGAUUCCGAGAAAAUUGCUAUUUUUUUCAU